CGGGUGAGUAACACGUGGAUAACCUACCUAUAAGACUGGGAUAACUUCGGGAAACCGGAGCUAAUACCGGAUAAUAUAUUGAACCGCAUGGUUCAAUGGUGAAAGACGGUUUUGCUGUCACUUAUAGAUGGAUCCGCGCCGCAUUAGCUAGUUGGUAAGGUAACGGCUUACCAAGGCAACGAUGCGUAGCCGACCUGAGAGGGUGAUCGGCCACACUGUAACUGAGACACGGUCCAGACUCCUACGGGAGGCAGCAGCA
rnacentral:rRNA from 1 species